UAGGGAAGGGAAGUAGGAGGGCGGGGAUGAUUGUCUGGAAGAGUCAUUUUGGAGUUGAGCAAAGUAAAAACAAUGUGAUUGGAGAGUCCUGUGGGGUUGCCAGGCACUGUGGAGUCUGUUCAAUACAGCUGCCUUGUCUGUGACAAGUGGGACCACAGAGGUGACCGCCACACUGCUAGUUUCUGAAAGGAGGAACAGAAAAGAGGUUGGACUCUUGCAAAGUCCAGGAUGGUAUUCUCUUGCUGGAAUGGAAUCUCCCUGGUAUCUGGCAAUAGGAAGCACUAGAACAUUGCUGUGUACCCAGGCUGAUCUGAGACAUAUGGUCUUCCUGUGUCAGCUUCUUGAGGGCUAGGAUUACAGCCAUGCUCCACAAUGUCCAUACCUAUAAAAGUCUAAAUGCUCAAUCACAUAUUUACUACGUGACAAAAGGCUAUUUUUAGAAAACA